rnacentral:sRNA from 1 species
CCCUUUGUACACACCGCCCGUCGCUACUACCGAUUGAAUGGCUCAGUGAGGCGUUCGGACUGGCUCGGGGAGGUUGGCAACGACCACCCCAAGCCGGAAAGUUCGUCAAACUCGGUCAUUUAGAGGAAGUAAAAGUCGUAACAAGGUCUCCGUAGGUGAACCUGCGGAGGGAUCAUUACACAAUAACAUAUGAAGGCUGUACGCGGCUCUGUCCUCGGGCGAGUUGGCGGAGGCUGGAGUAUUUAUCACCCUUGUCGUUUGCGCACUUGUUGUUUCCUAGGCGGGCUCGCCCGCCACCAGGACCACAUUAUAACCCUUUUUUAUGCAGUUGCAAUCAGCGUCAGUACAACCAAUGUAAAUCAUUUACAACUUUCAACAACGGAUCUCUUGGUUCUGGCAUCGAUGAAGAACGCAGCGAAAUGCGAUACGUAGUGUGAAUUGCAGAAUUCAGUGAAUCAUCGAAUCUUUGAACGCACAUUGCGCCCUUUGGUACUCCAAAGGGCAUGCCUGUUCGAGCGUCAUUUGUACCCUCAAGCUUUGCUUGGUGUUGGGCGUUUUGUCUUUGGUUGUCCAAAGACUCGCCUUAAAACGAUUGGCAGCCGGCCUACUGGUUUCGCAGCGCAGCACAUUUUUGCGCUUGCAAUCAGCAAAAGAGGACGGCACUCCAUCAAGACACCUUCUCACGUUUGACCUCGGAUCAGGUAGGGAUACCCGCUGAACUUAAGCAUAUCAUA